rnacentral:rRNA from 1 species
UACGGAGGAUCCAAGCGUUAUCCGGAUUUAUUGGGUUUAAAGGGUGCGUAGGCGGUCAUUUAAGUCAGGGGUGAAAGACGGCAGCUCAACUGUCGCAGUGCCUUUGAUACUGAGUGACUAGAAUAUACCUGAGGUAGGCGGAAUGUGACAAGUAGCGGUGAAAUGCAUAGAUAUGUCACAGAACACCGAUUGCGGAGGCAGCUUACUAAAGUAUGAUUGACGCUGAGGCACGAAAGCGUGGGGAU